CGAAAUGCAACAUAGCUUACAGGUUAAUAUCAAGAUGAACACGAGUGAAUUCUAAUUUGUAUUUGGCAUGCAGAAACGUCAGAGACAAUGAUGCAACUAAGCAGUAUUUUGUUGUAUCUUUAUGUCUACUCAUCUGUUUCAAUCGCCGUGUCGUCGUCGUUUGUGAAUUAUACGCCCGGAUAUGAAUACCUGUAUACCCUCACAUCAACCAUAGAACUGAGAGGAGUACACACAUUCCUCGCAAAUGGAAAGAUUGGUUUUGUCAACAUUGCAGACAAUGAUAAUUUCCAAGAGCUACUACUAAUUGUGCAUGACCUGACAUUCAGCCCCAAAGCUCACUCGG